UCAUCGGCCCUUCUCAGGGCCAACAAUAUUCUCAUAACGUUAAAC
rfam:Apis mellifera strain DH4 linkage group 1, whole genome shotgun sequence.